GCUGGCGGCGUGCCUAACACAUGCAAGUCGAACGCGAAAGUGGAGCAAUCCAUGAGUAGAGUGGCAAACGGGUGAGUAACGCGUGGGCGACCUACCUCAGAGUGGGGGAUAACCUUCCGAAAGGAGGGCUAAUACCGCAUGACAUACCGUGUUUGGAUACACGGAUAUCAAAGCCGGGGAUCGCAAGACCUGGCGCUUGGAGAGGGGCCCGCGUCCGAUUAGCUAGUUGGUGAGGUAACGGCUCACCAAGGCUCCGAUCGGUAUCCGGCCUGAGAGGGCGGACGGACACACUGGAACUGAGACACGGUCCAGACUCCUACGGGAGGCAGCAGUGGGGAAUUGUUCACAAUGGGCGCAAGCCUGAUGACGCAACGCCGCGUGGAGGAUGAAGACUUUCGGGUCGUAAACUCCUUUCGACCGAGAUGAAUUCCCCUCGACCUAACACGUCGAGGGGGUGACAGUAUCGAGGGAAGAAGCCCCGGCUAACUCCGUGCCAGCAGCCGCGGUAAUACGGGGGGGGCAAGCGUUGUUCGGAAUUACUGGGCGUAAAGGGUUCGUAGGUGGCUUGCUAAGUCAGACGUGAAAUCCCUCAGCUUAACUGGGGAACUGCGUCUGAUACUGGCGAGCUUGAGUGCAGGAGAGGAACGCA
rnacentral:rRNA from 1 species